UGGGGAUUAGCUCAGUGGUAGAGCGCUUGCCUAGCAAGCACAAGGCCCUGGGUUCAGUCCCUGGCUCCAA
rnacentral:tRNA from 1 species